GGCAUAGUAGUAUAGUGUGUUUUAAGCAUCGGACUAUGACUCUGGAAACCAGGGUUCGAUUCCCAGCUUGGCCA